rnacentral:rRNA from 1 species
UACGAAGGGGGCUAGCGUUGCUCGGAAUUACUGGGCGUAAAGCGCGCGUAGGCGGAUUUGCAAGUCGGGGGUGAAAGCCCGAGGCUCAACCUCGGAACUGCCCUCGAUACUUCAAAUCCCGAGUCCGAGAGAGGUGAGUGGAAUUCCUAGUGUAGAGGUGAAAUUCGUAGAUAUUAGGAAGAACACCAGUGGCGAAGGCGGCUCACUGGCUCGGUACUGACGCUGAGGCGCGAAAGCGUGGGGAGCAAACAGG